GAUUACAUGCAAGGCACCACAACGUCUCUGCCUGGAUCAUGGCUACACUGACCACAGGGCAAGAUGCCCCAAUGCCUGGCUUACCCGAGAGCUGCAGAAGGAGGUGGCACAUUUUUGGGAGCUGCUGAUGGCUCAGGGACUCUCAGCCUCUGCCCUAAGAGGUCUAAAGAUAAUGUCACCAGGGUUGCCCAGGUAGAUGCGGAUAUCAAGUUGACUGGACAAUUCAUCUGGGAGCAACAUUGUCUCUUCCAAAGCAUCCCCCAGCAUGAUGGAAAAGUGAUGGUCACAUUAGAGCCUGGUAAAGGAGCUGAUGGGAAGCUUGUGACGGAGCCGCUGGUGCUGAAGUCAGGAAACAGGAUCGUAAUGGGCCGGAUGGUGAAAAAAGAUUGAUGCUGUUCUGACUGGUGCCUCCAACGCUCUGGAGACCUGGGCCUCAAAGGAUCAAAAAAGUCACAAAACCUAGA